AGCAAGAGCAUCCAAGCGACCCCCCCCCCCGUCUCUGCAGCUCGGGCCCCCCCUGCACCAGCCGCCCCUCCGCGCGCGCAUGCAAACAGCGCAGCCACGACUGCGGGCGAGCGGGCAGGGCCGCAAACAGGAUCCACUCGCGCCCGCGAGCACGGGUGGGGCGCUGCGCCGCAGGAGGCACAGGGCCGCCCCCCAGGACCUGCCCGCACGCGACGGGGCUGGGAGCCCUACCAAAAAGCUGCUCAACUAUCUGGCCCUUUUGCCCGGAUUCUGCAGCCCCCCCCCCCCCGUCCUCGCCCCCGGCUUUAUUCUGUCUGAAUGGGAGCCCGGUACUUUUGGGAGCAGUGGGGGAACCGCAGGGUGGAGGUUGUCCUUGAACCUGUCCCUGCUGCACCGCUGAAAAGGUCUCGAAACAUCGGGCUUGUCGGCAGGCACGGCUCCCGGCUGUUCCUAGAGAGGACACAGCAGGCAAGGGCAAGGCUGCCCACGUAGCCCGGGAGGAGCGGUCUAGAAAACGCUAACAACGAAAAAAAUAAAUAAGCCUAAACCCAGAGCCUGCCGGAAGUGAAGAAAACGACCUUAGCCUUUGUAACUAGCGUGGGAGGUGAUAUGAACUGGGAAAAGGGAAGAGGACAAAUUGGGGAAGCACACAGAUACUAUCGUGAUGGAUGCUAUAAAAAGCCUAAGCUAGACAGCCAGAGCCAUGCUUGAGUUGGGGGAAGUGCACUCUAUUGCUAAGGAAACAAACUUAGCAACUGAGUAAAUAUAAAGAGAGAAAACUCCAGUCCAACUGGAUUCGUCCAGAUGCAGAAACGGGGCAUUCUGAAGAAAAAAAUUGAGCAUUGUGGGCUAGUUUGAGGCUACAGAAGAGGAAAUGUGUGAACUUGUAUAUAAUGAAUUGGUGACCAACAGUGCCACUGGUGCACUAUAAACCAGAGUGGACAC